CAGCAGCCGCGGUAAUACGUAGGGUGCGAGCGUUAAUCGGAAUUACUGGGCGUAAAGCGUGCGCAGGCGGAUUGUUAAGCAAGAUGUGAAAUCCCCGGGCUUAACCUGGGAAUGGCAUUUUGAACUGGCAGUCUAGAGUGUGUCAGAGGGGGGUGGAAUUCCACGUGUAGCAGUGAAAUGCGUAGAUAUGUGGAGGAACACCAAUGGCGAAGGCAGCCCCUGGGAUAACACUGACGCUCAUGUACGAAAGCGUGGGUAGCAAACAGGAUUAGAUACCCUGGUAGUCCACGCCCUAAACGAUGUCAACUAGUUGUUGGGGGAGUGAAAUCCCUUAGUAACGAC
rnacentral:rRNA from 1 species